UGAUAUAUCUACUAAGGUUAAGUGAACAAAAGGUUGCACACAAAAUAUUGAUUAGAGAAAUUUAAUAUUAAUUCCAAUUAUAUAAAUGGUUUAUGACAACUCUUAAGUUUUAUGAAAUGCUAAAAACUAUUUAAUUGAAGUUAAUAAAGCAUCCUUUUUUUUUUCCUAUAAAGCGAUUGAUUUUUUCUUCUUCUAUUUAUCACAUGUAAAGGAGAAAAAAUAUGGUUCAAAUUUUCAUAUUUGUUCAUGCUUUGAUCAUUCUUUCUCUAUUUCUUGUUGCAACCGGUGGUAGAUCUUCUGUUCCCUGCGAAUCUCAUGAUGAUUGUGUAGAGCCGCAUUUACCUCCAAUGGUUAUAAAGUGUGUUGAUAAUUUUUGUGAGUUUCUUUAUUUUGGUGUACCCCCAUAACCACCGCGCGAAAUUGGGAGACUAAUAAGUAACAAACUCUACAUAAGAAUUUUGACGCAGUUGCAUGCCCAAACUUGAAUUAAAACACAAGAUUUGAUUAAGCUUGAAGAGACCUAUGACAUCUCAUCACAUCGGUUUUUGGUUUAUUUAUUUACAAGUUCUAUAUAGCUUAAUAAUUAAGUUUUAAAAUAAUUAUGUUACUUCUAAACGUAUAUUGUUAUUCUUAUGUGUCGCAAUUGUAGUUUUAUAAUUUACUCAAACAAAUAUUUUGGUCAA